GGCCUCUUGAUUAUUAUUUGAGGUCUAGCCUGCCCACUGAGUCUUUAAAUGGCUGCGGUACUCUGACCGUGCGAAGGUAGCAUAAUAGUUAGUUUUUUAAUUGAAAGCUGGAAUGAAUGGUUGAAUGAGGAAACUACUGUCUCUUGUUAAUUUUGUUAGAACUUUAUCUUUAAGUAAAAAAGCUUAGAUGUUGUUAAAAGACGAGAAGACCCUAUAGAGUUUUAUAUUAUUGGGUAUUAUGGUCCUUUUUAGGAUUGUUGGGGUUAUAAUAUCAGGUUUUAUUUGGUUGGGGUGAUUGGAAAAUUGAAUUAACUUUUUUUUUGUUUUUCCACUGAUUUGUGAGUAUUUGAUCCGUUGUUUACGAUUAUAAGAUAAAAUUACCUUAGGGAUAACAGCGUAAUUUUUUUUUGAGAGUCCUAAUCGAAAAAGAAGUUUGCGACCUCGAUGUUGGAUUAAAAUUAAUUUUUGGUGUAGGAGCUAAGAAUUUUAGGUCUGUUCGACCUUUAAAAUUUUACA
rnacentral:rRNA from 1 species